rnacentral:rRNA from 1 species
GACGAACGCUGCCGGCGUGCUUAACACAUGCAAGUCGACCGAGACGAUGGAAGCUUGCUUCUAUCAUUCUUAGUGCGAACGGGUGAGUACGCGUAUCAACCUGCCUUCAAGGGGCAACAGUUGGAAACGACUGCUAAUACCGCAUACGAUCUAACCUUGGCAUCGAGGAUGGAUGAAAGGUGGCCUCUAUUUAUAAGCUAUCACUGAAGGAGGGGAUUGCGUCUGAUUAGCUAGUUGAGGGGUAACGGCCCACCAAGGCGAUGAUCAGUAGCCGGUCUGAGAGGAUGAACGGCCACAUUGGGACUGAGACACGGCCCAGACUCCUACGGGAGGCAGCAGUGGGGAAUCUUCCGCAAUGGACGAAAGUCUGACGGAGCAACGCCGCGUGAGUGAUGACGGCCUUCGGGUUGUAAAGCUCUGUUAAUCGGGACGAAAGGCCUUCUUGCGAAUAGUUAGAAGGAUUGACGGUACCGGAAUAGAAAGCCACGGCUAA